rnacentral:miRNA from 18 species
UAUAUCACCCAUACAUCCAGAUA